ACUGGAGGAACAGUAUCUGAUUCCAAGGAUGCAGCACUUUGGGAAUUAGGGGCAUAGAAGGUAUGGUUGUAGGGCUGGGGAGAGAAAGAGAUUGCUUUUUAACGCAUUAGAUUUUUCUAUUAUAUUAAAGAACAAUUAGUAAAGCUGAAUAUUCCAGUAUUUGUAACAUUUAUCAUGCUAUUGUUCAAAUUCCUGUCAAAGCCUCUUUUCAUUUUUAUUGAACAUCAGUCAAAAAGAUAAUAGCAUACACCACCUGGAAUCCUAUUUGUUUUCAGCUCACAAAUGCAUAUUACAGUAAUAUCACAAAUACAUAUUACAGUAAAGAGAUUCAUAUAUCACUUCACAGUCUUAAACUUUUGCAGUUAUAAUUUUGGAGAUGGGCACUUAUGCAUUGUGUGUUAUCUGUGUUAAGAAUGGGGGCAUGGGCAUUUGGGGAAGGCUACCUGGUUAAAUGGGUGAAGUCCAGAAGUAAGAAUCAGAGUUCAAGGUUAGCAAGGUCAAGGAACAGCAGAGGGGCCAAGAACAAGUGUUAGUCUUUGGCCAGACCCCUUGCUGAUGUCUGGAGCUUGCUUUUAAAAGCAGGAGCAUGUGGGGUUUGUUUUCCUGCAACCUCAGGGGAUUGAUACCCUGAUUGCUCAGUUGUGAGUGGCUAGGUCCAGGGUCCUAUCUGAGCUCAUUAAAUCUGUCCCAAAAUUACCCCAUGCCCAAAACAAGGGCAAUUUUUUUUUCCCAGAAUGAAACUGGGCUAAAUUAUUCUGAGCCACAGUAGAGAUGCACCUUAUAGAUUAACUGAAUCAGAGCAAGAGCCUACUUCAACAGAUUAUUUUGGUUUAGCUGUCACUUACUUUAGGGUAAUUAUAAACACAGGGACAACUGUCAUGGUGCCGCUGAGGCUUGAUAUGUCCCUGCCAUCUAUUAACUGCAGGCACAUGGGGUAAUCGCUGGGUGAGGAGAACUAAGAACUCCAUGGAGCUCUCAGCUCCACUCAUGCGUGCUGCAGUCUCUAGGUUGAAAGCUGACUAGCGGUGUUAGUUUGAAGUCAGGCAGAUGGCAGAGCAGGUGCACUAAGUUUAGACUGGCCUGGGUUAACUUGAUCUGAAAUGGGUUAACCUGGCCUAAUGAAUAUCUGAGUGCUUUUCAGCAGAACCUUUGGACUGGGAAAGCCCAGCCACUCACCACAGCCCCAGCUACAGCCUCUCCCCUGACCAGGCAGACCCCUGUAGACCAACUAGCCCCACCCUGCAGACCCACUGCCCUCCAUUGCACCUAUGAGCCCCUUCCAGAGGCUUGCCAGCUCCCGCCUCCCCCUCACUUUACUUACCUCCAGCUGCCCUGCCCAUGGCAGAACCUGACUUAGGUGUAGCUGGCUCAAAGGAAGCUGGUUAACCUGAGUCAGCUGAUAUCCACACCCAUAGAGCCUAAUUGGUUCAGAGAGAUGUGACCUUUCAUAGGCAGCAGCCUACAUCUGAUGAAGCCUCACCAGUUUCUAGGUUGGGAAUCUCUGACUAUAGAAAAAGAUAGAGAUGUUUGAUAAGCUCUGGCAUUAAAAGAGGUAAAAAAUGUCAAAGGAAAAAGGGCAAGAAGACGACAGCAUAAAUAUGGUCUGAGAUGAAAAGAUGGUAUUAAUCUUCCCUUUGGCUUGCAAGGAGGCACUGUGUGUGUUUAUGAGAUCUUCCUGCACUGGGCUUCAAAAGCCUGAAGGCUAUUCUGGUUUAUACAUACUACUCGGAGCAUCAAGAAGCCAAGCUUCAGCUAUGGAUUAGCUCACACUAAGGGCUGCUGUCUGGAAACUAUUUCUUCUUAGUCAUGCUCCUCAUGCUGGCUGCACAUUGUUAGUAUGGAUGAUCCUUCUGGGGCAGGAUGGGCUAGUUCAAAGGCCAGAAUUAGUCAGCAGUAUCAUGCAAAACAAAUGCACUGUGUGCUACUGGACACAUCUUGCAAUUCAUUGUGUUAAUUCUUAGUGGGAAAUGGAUUAACUUGGCAACAUAUGUUGUAAAUGGCACAUAGUUGGAGUCGGAAUAGCAAUUCAUAUUAAAGAUACACUUAAUAUGUAUUUUGCUCUUUAUGUACAAUGCACAUGCUUUAGAAUGUAUUUUUCGUGUAGAUUUAUGUAUAUUUGCAGUUUUUAAGACUAUCUGCCUUGAUUUUUGUUUAUUUUUAAAUGAGUUUGAUGUGACAUGUUCUUGCGUAACCAGAUCUAUAAGGGGGAGCUGGCACACUGAUGGCUCUCAAGUUAUCUUCUUUA